rnacentral:rRNA from 1 species
UGAGUAGCGCGUGGGUAACCUGCCUUAUACAGGGGGAUAACAGUCAGAAAAUGGCUGCUAAUACCGCAUAAGCGCACAGAGCUGCAUGGCUCAGUGUGAAAAACUCCGGUGGUAUAAGAUGGACCCGCGUUGGAUUAGCUAGUUGGUGGGGUAACGGCCCACCAAGGCGACGAUCCAUAGCCGGCCUGAGAGGGUGAACGGCCACAUUGGGACUGAGACACGGCCCAGACUCCUACGGGAGGCAGCAUG